GAUUCCUAUGCUAACACGUGCGCGUGACACUACAUGUCUCUCGCGCCGCGUGGUAGCAUUAGAACC
rnacentral:pre_miRNA from 1 species